AUACGGAGGGUGCAAGCGUUAUCCGGAUUCACUGGGUUUAAAGGGUGCGUAGGUGGGUUGGUAAGUCAGUGGUGAAAUCCCCGAGCUUAACUUGGGAACUGCCAUUGAUACUAUCAGUCUUGAAUACCGUGGAGGUCAGCGGAAUAUGUCAUGUAGCGGUGAAAUGCUUAGAUAUGACAUAGAACACCAAUUGCGAAGGCAGCUGGCUACGCGAAUAUUGACACUGAGGCACGAAAGCGUGGGGAUC
rnacentral:rRNA from 1 species